UGUCCCUGUGGUGGGCUGCAUCUCAACUGUGUCUUUGCAACCCUCACUGCAUUUCUGCUGCAGCUGAAUGGAGAGUUGUUUCAAGUCAGCCAAUUACUCGUUGGAUGAAAUUAAAUUCUGAAGUUCACUGGAAAGACAAACAGAUGAAUCAUCAUUGGAGACUCAGUCCUGGAAAUCCUGUCCGGAAACCCAGUUCGCCUAGCCCACGCUUCCUGUAAGCCAGUAUUUGGAUCUACCACUCUUCAAGCCUGCCAGCCAGCCACUCUCUGGAUCACCCCCGCCUCUGGACUCCCACUCUCGCCUGCCAGCUUCCCCUUUUGCACCAUUUACUCAUUGUCUAAAUAAACCGUUUAAACUCUU